UAAUCCCCUCACUUACAAUAGUCUGAGGUCCUGAAAACCUGGAUCUCUUACCCACCUGCUAGUCGUUAAAACAAUUACAUGGUUAGGAGCUCACAAACAAAGCAAUUCAUAAUGGGCUCGGGUCCUAUUUCCCCCUGGUCCCCUGUGAGGGCGGAUGAAUUAUGUCCUUGUCCCCUCCAGGACCGGUGUCUCUGGAACAAUGACACACACAUAAAAGCGCAGAAGCGGGGAGUCUUUUUUACUGCUCCUGUCUGUCUGUCUCCCCAAACCCUCACCUCAAGGAAUACUUAACCUUAUGGAAUAUGAAGAGAUUCCCAUUAGCAGAGACAGCUGCUAUGAUUCAUCACAUGCAUUGGAAAAAAAAGACUGCUAUUGUUAACCUGUAUUUUACCUAUGAUAACCUUCCUGCCUCUUAAGAAACUCAAAUACAGUGAAGGAAGAGAUA